rnacentral:tRNA from 1 species
AAAGUUUUUAAAAAAUAAGCUUCUAACUUAUCUAAAGCAAUUAAAUUUGUUAAACUUUU